CAAUAGCGUAUAUUAAAGUUGUUGCAGUUAAAAAGCUCGUAGUUGGAUUUCUGGUAGGAGCGACCGUGCCGAACUUGAUUGUUCGAGUAUUGUGUUGUCUUCAGCCAUCCUCGUGGAGAACUUUUCUAACAUUGACUUGUUGGGAUUGGGACCCGCGUCGUUUACUGUGAAAAAAUUAGAGUGUUUAAAGCAGGCAUUAGCUUGAAUACAUUAGCAUGGAAUAAUAAGAUAGGACUUUGGUACUAUUUUGUUGGUUUGCAUACCAAAUUAAUGAUCAACAGGAACAGUUUGAGGAUAUUCGUAUGAACGUGUCAGAGGUGAAAUUCUUGGAUUUUGAUCAGACGAACUACUGCGAAAGCAUUUAUCAAGGAUGUUUUCAUUAAC
rnacentral:rRNA from 1 species